AUGCGGGGCCAUCGCCGGCAGGAUCAAGGGGAGGUCUGCCACCUCCUCCACAUCAGGGACUUGCACCACCACCAGCUCUCGUCGGCGGCGAGUAGCGGGUCUCGUUGGACUGAUGGAGAGCUCAAGCUGACGGAGAAGGCGCUGCGGGCUCCGCACGUGGUUCACCUCGUACGAGCCCACGCAGGACUACCACGUGUGCUAUCGCUUCCACCACGAGUUCAACAUGGCCUUGUUCCACUACCACAAAGAGACUCGCUUCUGCCGUGGCCCGCCGCUCCACAAGACAACACCCGCGCGCGAGUCGCUCGUGGGAGCAUGCCUCAACAUCAGAUCCUUCUUAAGUUCAAAAAAAAAAACAUCAGAUCCUUCAAGGUACGCGAAUCGGACGUCGGCUUCCCGAUCAACGUGUUUGGCACCGUCGUCGCAAGGGACUCGGUGGACUAUAGAUGCGUCUAUCUCUUUAGGCGUCACAGGGACGAUCCCCAACUCAUCACCUCCCCGGAUGAUAUGAUAUCUUUGUCGGACCCAUGUCGAGCGCUAGUUCCGCAGAGUAGGCUUCAUUUCGAGAUCAAUUUGAAGAUCAAGUGCAAUGGAGGGGCGGAUCAAGAUUUUAGCAAAUGCUUGCAAGAAUUCGAUUCGGUCCGCCUCGCUACAGGAAAGGAGACCAUGACCCUCGGUCUAGAUAGUUAUCUGAGUAGGCUGGAGUUGUCAUGUGUGCAGGUUUACGCACCCGUGGAAGCCACCUUUGCCAUCAAUGUUCUAAAGGGCCCGUGUAAUAUCUCGAGAGUAGUCGUUGCGACUCGAGGAAACUUUAGUGAUCGUAGAAUCCUAUACGAAGCAACGGGCGACAAUAUAGUGAUUGGUGACGGUGCUUCCGUUCCGUUGACUCGUCGUGUGGUAGCCGUCCCACGGGAUCAGAAGCUGGCGCUCUUUCUUGUCGGCGGCGACGACGUACUUGGACACCUUGCCCUCACUCUUGGUCAUUCUGACGAAGUGGUCAACUGGAUGAUUAAUGUAUUUAUUGAGAUUAAUGUAUGA
rnacentral:rRNA from 1 species